UACAGAGGGUGCAAGCGUUAAUCGGAAUUACUGGGCGUAAAGCGUGCGCAGACGGUUGCGUAAGUCGGAUGUGAAAGCCCUCGGCUCAACUGAGGAAGUGCACCCGAAACUGGCGAGCUUGAGUACGAAAGAGGAUCGCGGAAUUCCCGGUGUAGAGGUGAAAUUCGUAGAUAUCGGGAGGAACACCGGUGGCGAAGGCGGCGAUCUGGGUCGAUACUGACGCUGAGGUGCGAAAGCGUGGGGAGCAAACAGG
rnacentral:rRNA from 1 species